rnacentral:misc_RNA from 1 species
UCGAAAGCUCUGGCUUUUGUUGUGCCUUGAACCCUUUGAUGUCUAAACCUUUGUUGCUUCCGUCGGCCGAUAACCCCGAACGGGGGCUUUGACCGACGGUGGGUAUUUGGGAACUCGGUUGUUUAGAUGUUGUUAGUCUGAAAAUAUUUGAGAUUAAAUGCUCAAAAAACA